AACACGUCUGUCUGUCAGUAGUAAAGACAGUCGUAAGUCUUCCUCUAAACAACUGUGAUGUUGUGGUCCACGGACGCCGUAAUCAGAUGUCGUCCCUCCCCAACCCCCGCGUCUCUCAUCCCACGUGUUCAAUGGAGAAGAGAUACUUGUAUCAGACUAUUGAACUGCCUGCCAGCUGCCAGAAAAAGACAAGAAGUGGAAGAAGAAGAAGAAUGACAUGAACCCCUUCAGACGACAGAUGUCAGGAAUGAUGGAACCUGUGUACCUUAUAGUUCCACCUCCCUGCACCCCUGUGCCUGUUCUGAAGAGUUUCUUCCACUUCCCGGCCCGGUCCUCCUGGCCCAGUCAAGGUCAGACCCACUCACCCCACUCCCUCAUCAUUACAUCUGGACUGGUUGGGCUGACAUGUUGUUUUGUUCUCUAAAUUGGUAGGCCAGUAGAUAACCUAGACUGUGGAAUAAUUGAAUGGCUACGGCUACAGUCAGGUUUUACUAAGUAGGGUUAUUUCAGUCAGGCACUGAAAUUAAAAACACAGAGACCGAGACACUAUCAGAGGAACUAACCUGGCUGGGUGAAAAGAGUCUGGCCAGCUCGUGUGUGAUAAGAGAAAUUGCCCCCUUGUUGAUAGACAAGGAGAAAAACAUUUUAUUUGGUUGGUAGUGGAUUUGGCCCCUGGCACAAUCUUUAGUACCAAUAACAGAUGCUGACAACAUCGACGAAUGGAACGUUUUUUGUGUUGAACAAAUGGUUCGGUCUCUCGACCGUUGAAUCACACACUGGGACUUCCCUGUUACUUCUCCGCUGGUAGAAUGUUGACCCGACCUGGCUGUAGGGGCCCGGUUCUCUCUGGGCCACACAUGCACUCCACUGUAGCGCAAGAUGCUUUUUCUUCAAAUUGAAAUUCUUGUCUCAUGCAUGUUCUUUAUGUGGUCCGAGUACUGGAAUCACGAGUUAAUAAUUAGAAAAUACAAAUAGAAAGACAUUUCAGGCAGCCUGAUAUAGUGGCUUCAAAGUCGCUUCCUGUAGCCACAGAACAAUGAGUCAGUGUCUCGUUAUAUUCAUAGCCAGCAAUUCUAGUUAGUUACUUCCCUGUGACUGUUUAAAUGCCCCCUUCUUGUGUGCACGUCUACCUCCGACUCCAAAUCCUCCCUUGGCACGCCCACCCUACUGCAGCAAUGGAUGAUGGGUAAUGUAUGCAAAUCACACGUCCUUUCCUCCUGGAUAGGGACAGUUUGACUUUGUGGUUGACUUUUAAGGUCUAGGUGUUUUGUUUAAUUGCAUGUUGUGUUUCAGGGCUACAAAGUAGAUGGAUGUUGGUAGACUUGCUUUUUAACUAUUUUAUGACUUUGGGUUUGCUGCUAUGGACUUCAACAUAUUACUAUGAUAUUACUGUGUUUUAAAUAAUCCACCAUCUCUUCCACUUAUAAGACACCGUAAUCCAAAUAUUUCUUAAUAAAUUUUUUCGUACAUAUUUGUACCUAAAGGACAAAGACAGACUAUAUUCUUCCAAAACCUACAUUUUCUCUUGCAAGAAUCAAUCCCUACAACCCACUGAAGGAGUCAAAAGUCCUUAAACAGUUGCACAACACUGUAGUUCUGUACAGUUACACAACACUGUAUGUAAAAAUAAGAUGUGUGCUAAAUUGUAGAAUUAAUGCAUAAAUAACCUGACAAUUGAAGUACAACACCACCCCCUGGUGGUCGGACCUAUCCCAUAAGAUUAUCUUGGCAGUAAAUCAACAAGAAAACCAAGGUAUUGUAGCUUGGUUUAGGGCUGUCCUAGAAUGCAUUUUAUUAGGUGUAACUUAAUACCCCUUCCUAUCCUUUUCAUUAGAAACACAUUGCUUCUAACUGCCUAUUAAGAAGUUGUCAUGUACUGUAAGUGGCCAAGCAGACAACAGUGUCUAUUGCCUACUCUUAUGGUCUAGGUCUUGAUCCCCUUGCAGCCUCUGGCAUUAUACAGCAGUCUUAAUGAAGUCUUUACUCCCGCCCUCGCAGUCUAUCCUCCCACUACAUCCGUUUGUUACAUUGUUUUACCGCGCCUUAUCUGACCUCCCAAGCUAGUAUUCUUCCAGACACCUGGACAGUCAAAGAAAGCCAUUACUCUGCCCCGGAAAAAAAAGAAAAACCACAGGAAAAAGUUCCCUCAUUCAUCAAAGGGACUAAGAUAUUUUUGACAAUGUCCUCCUGGGUCUAGCCAGGAUCAAAGUACAAAGCGGUGUGCUUUUUUCUAUUUAUUUAUCUUUGUCCAACAAAUCAGGGAUCCAAUCCUUCUCAUCUAUCAUCCUUUGGGAGACUCAAAUAAUAAAAUUCCUUUUCAGGUAAUGGCUGCCGUUAUCUCUCUCCCCCCCACUACCGCCCCACCCGCCCCACCUAUCAGACACGUCCCCUCUCGGAACACCAGCUCGUACCAGAGCAUGAUUGAUGACUUGAUCCGAACGACAUUAAAGACAUCUGCUUUGAAUUCACUUUUUGUCGCGCGGGUCAUUGUUAGCGCGCUGAUGAACGACCUCGUCGAAACAGAAGGUGGACCGGGGGCGUUUCCUGGGCGAUGUUGCGGUCCAGAGUCAGCCGGGAAACGGGAGAAGCCCAUUGGCUGGCUGGUAGAGUAGCCUUCGUAUUAGUUUGGAGAACAGUGUUAGCACGGAGAGCUCGGAUCCCUCAGAGUGCUGUUGGCUAUAUACGCUGAGUACGCUGAGAAUCCAUCAAUUCGUAAUGGAUUCAAUGUGGAUUUGGAAUGUGUUUGGGGUUGUUUGGUUAUGCUGAUUACAUUAUGGUCUUUCUAGUCAAAAUUGGUUUUGCUCCAAUCUGGGAAGCACCCCUUAUCAGCAAAUAAUAUUGUUAUGGAAACAGUUUUGUGGCUCCUAGCCCCCUCGCAUGAAAGCAUUAGGAGCCCCAUAACACCAUAGGCAUGACUUAAUUCACGAGCAAUACCCAAUUUAAUUAAAAAACAAUCGCAUUUGGAUCGGCAUUGUGUUGCGUUCAUUUGUAUGCAAAGGCGGGCAGGACGUGCACGUGCGACAGUUGUGCACGUGCCCUUCUGCAAGUGUGCUGCAAGUGUGCGUCUGUGCUAAAACAGACACGCGCAGGCACCCACGCACACACGCACAUGCGCACACACACACACACACGCACACACGCACACACGCAAGUAUCUAAUUAGAGGCUGCGACCAAAAAAAUGAAUUCAUUUCAUAUUUUCUCUCCAAAAUCCUCCACUUGAAUGAAGCACUUGUACUUCUUUUUCAUUAUUUGACAGGAGGGGGAGAAGGCAGAGGGCGGGGGAGUGGGGGAGUGGGGGAGUGAAGAGGCCCCGGUGGAGCCUGUUUAUCUGUGUUAUGUAUCUGCCGCCGCCGUGGUGGACGGUUGUGCAUCUGUCUCUAAUAUGGUGGCGGGUCGCGGUCGGCCCGCCACGCCAAACCGCCGUCGUAUGGCCGAUAUCGUAAGAAUAACUCUACCUGUCUCUUCGCAUCUUCCUCUUUAUCCUUCUGUCCUGCAGCGAGCGUGUUCUCUCUCUCUCUCUCUCUCUCUCUCUCUCUCUCUCUCUCUC